rnacentral:rRNA from 1 species
GACGAACGCUGGCGGCGUGCUUAACACAUGCAAGUCGAACGGAAAGGCCCUGCUUUUGUGGGGUGCUCGAGUGGCGAACGGGUGAGUAACACGUGAGUAACCUGCCCUUGACUUUGGGAUAACUUCAGGAAACUGGGGCUAAUACCGGACAGGAGCUCCUGCUGCAUGGUGGGGGGUGGAAAGUCUCGGCGGGUGGGGAUGGACGCGCGGCUUAUCAGCUUGUUGGUGGGGUAGUGGCUUACCAAGGAAGUGACGGGUAGCCGGCAUGAGAGGGUGACCGGCGACAAUGGGACUGAGAUAGGGACCAGACUCCUACGGUAGGCAGCGGUGGGGAGUAUGGCACAAUGGGCGGAAGCCUGAUGCAGCAACGCCGCGUGCGGGAUGACGGCCUGCGGGUUAUAAACCGCUUUAGCCUGUGACGAAGCGUGAGUGACGGUAAUGGGUAAAGAAGCACCGGCUAACUACGUG